CUACCCUCCGGAACCGCUGAGCUGAUUGUCCAGAAAAGAAUGCUGUAUAAGCUGGCGAAGGUGAUGGAUAGCUUCCUCCUCUCCAAAACACAGUGAAGAAUCAACAGAGCAAGGGACUUCUUCAUGUUCUUUAAGAUGAUAGCUCCUAAAGAUCCUUCCUGCCAGCAGCUCACAUUCUUCUACUCUAUUUUCAAUUUUUUUUUUUAUACAUUAAAAUUUCCCUUAAGGUACUAAGAAUUUUUAAUAUUCAUUUGGCUUGAAAUGUUGCAUAUUUGUGGUUAUUUUGUAACAUACAUAAAAUGGGGAUGCCUCUUUAAGAAAACAGACGUUAAGGGAGCUAGGUAGUCUAUCUAGCCAAUAGGAAGUUAAGUUUCCAGUGUCUAUCCACCAAUGAGAAUGCAGACUGCCCCUGUAGGUCCCGCCCUGCUUUCCCAUGUCUGUAGCAAUAUAGGGUGAGCGAGAGAGAUCGGACACGAGGACGAGACUGCUGAGCUGUGCAGCGUCAGAGUCUGUGUUAAGACUAUUAUAGUAUUACACACGAAUGAAAAGACGAAGCUUUUUGCAAUUGAAAUUGCUGUUUAUUAUCCAAGUUCUAAUCUGGAAUUAGUUGAGCUGAAGUGUCCCACCUGUCUGGACUCGGAGCCAUCAUAUUGUUGUCCCAAACUGAUGCAUUGAGAUCGGUCAGGUUUUUUUUUUUGUUACGCUGGAUCGUUCCUGAGGUGGAUUCCUCAAGAGACUGAUGGCGAGCCUUCCCACCUGGACUUAGAAAAGGAACUGGCUUCCUCCUUUUGCAUUUGGAGUUCUGCUGCACCCUGCGGUGUGGUAGGCCUGUGUCACUCAAAUCUUCACGCAGAGUUUGUUAUGCACGAGACUACUUACUGACUUUUUCCAUUUUUUUCGUUUCAUUCUGGGACUUUGGACAUAAAUUUUAUUUUGGACGUAGUAACAAACUACUGUGUAGGACACUCUCCUCACGUGACUGAUGUUGAGUCCAAUCUGAAUGUGAACUGAAUUUGAAUAAUCUGUGAUCUAUUAAAUUUCAGAAUUUAGAUUAACAGGGUGCACCCAAAAUAGAUAAAACCAGAGAAGUAGCACUUGGCCAAGUGUUUAUAUUAUUUUAUGUAUUUUAUUGUGUUGAAUUUAUUUUCAUAAUUGUUUGUCUUGUACAACUGUUUGUUAAUUUGAUGGUUUAUCUCACUAAAGUAGUCCUUCGUUAAAACCAUCCAACUGCCUCCGUUGUCAUUUAAACACCCUCACUGUGCUCCGAUAGCCGAACCUAUUGGCCCAUUUAUCUAAAAUACAUAGGACUCUUCUCUACUGUGUUACAAUUUCACAUAUUUAUAUGAGACCAAGUGGUUAAUAUUUUAUUGAAGUGUUACACUAUUUACUUAAACAACUGCUUAUACCAAAUCCCCACAAGGUGACGUUAUACUGCUGACAGGGAUGUUGCUGCUUCAAAAAACUAAUUUUAAUCAUUCAGCUGAUUAAAAAUAAGUUCAUCUGUAAGUUGCACGUGUGUACCUUCACUAUUGAGAAGAUACAGGCUGGGCUGAAUGAGAAAAGACAUUCUCUGAUCUUAACAGUCUUGAUUUGACGGAGAAGGGGGGUGGGGUGGCAGCUUGUCAUAUUAA